CACGAACCUAUAAAACUCAUCCAACAAAAGAAGUUGCUCAUUCGAUUUUUGUUUGUGUGUAUAUAUUCAUCAACUUGGUUUCACUGCCAACCUAAUAAAAUGAGAAAAUUACUGCUGUCAACCACUAUUUUGUUGCUCCUCCCAACAAACUUCUCUUUCUUGUACCAGCCCGUAAACUACAGAGAAAUUUUGUUCUCACUUACAAAUUCAUUGAACGUCGAUAUAAUUUCGAGUGUUGUCACGGACGUGGAUCCAUUUGAUUGGGUGGAUCCUAGAGGCCCUCUAUUAGAUUUUCAAGAUCUACAAAUUCCUUCUAAAGUUACACUUAAUAUAACAACGAAAUGUAACCUAGAUGUUACAUGGCUUCCGUUUACUAUGACGCACGCUUUUGCAGACGGUACUAGGGCAAAGUUUAGGUAUUACCUAAGUCUUGUGGCGCCCUACAUCGGCUUUCGUCAUGUCCUAGACGGCAACAGGGAUGCGAGUGUUAAAAUAAGCAACCAGACUUAUAAUCUUCUUACGGUUACUUUGACUGUAAACUAAAUGUUAUAACUUCGCUCAAAAAUUAGUUCUAAGAAAUAAAAAAAAGGAAAGAGGUCGAUGAACUGAGCAGCAGUUUUUGGUAACAGAGAUAAUUAGAGCUAAUGUUUUGAGAGAAGUUAGUCAUAAUUAUACACUUGUACAAACAAUAAGUUAUAAUUGGUUAGUUAUUCUAAUGUAGUUUGUAUUGUGUAUUAAACUAAUUAAUCAAA